rnacentral:tRNA from 1 species
GUCUUGUAGCGCAAUGGAUAGUGCAUUGGACUUCUAAUCCAAAGGUCGUGGGUUCGAAUCCCACCUGGGAUG